AGAAAGUAGCUUAACUUAAAGCAUUCGGCCUACACCCGAAAAAUAUUGACUUCCAAUCUUUUUGA
rnacentral:tRNA from 1 species